UGAUGUAUAAAUAAGUGAUAUUUUAUAUUUGUUGUUAUUGUAAUAUAACUUUAACUUUUAUACUUGUGACCUAAAAAAUAUAUUUAUUAAAACUGUACCAUAUUAUUAUAUUCAUAGGUGUUAAUAUAUGGAAAUUGUGAUGUAUAGAUAAGUGCUAUUCUAUAUAUAACUCGAAAGAUUUGUUGGUAUUGUCAUCCAAGCUUUCUAACCUUUCACAAAUUCAAAAAUAAUUCAGAAUUUGUAACAUGACAAAUUAUUCUUACAUAUUUUAUAAGGUCAAGUGAAAAAAAAAGUUUUCAUAGUAUAUUUAGUAUAUUUAAAAUGCUUAAAACAUAACAUUUGUAAAUGAUGCGUGCAAUCGUGUAUCAUACAUUUACAUGACGAGUAAUUACUAACUAUAAUACUAAGUUUCAAUCAUUAAUAAAAAAUCUUAGCAUUAUUUCAUAAAAACUUCCUAAUACUUGUUUCAUAUAAGUUUUUUAAGUAAAAUAGUAAAUUUAUGCCACAAACUGGUAAGUUUUGAUCAUUAACCAAAUUUACUAUUUUAUCAACAAGAUUUACUAUUAAUCUAUAAAAACUGAUUAUUACUUGAACUAAACUUACUCUCCAAAAAGUAAGUUUUGGAUAUAGAGUAGUAAUUUAUGUCAAAAAAAAGUAAGUUCCCUAUUUAUUUCAAUUUACUUUUUGAGACAUAAAAGUUACUAAUUUAUCGAGUUAACUUACUAUUUUUUAUGUGAAACUUACUAACCAAAUUUUUAGGUAUUAUCUUAUUUAGGUGACCAAUCCAACAAGUAACCAAAUAGUCGCUAAAAGUGUUUUUACCUGUCAUUCAAGAAGUAAUCAUUUAAAGGAUACGAACUCACUUGGAACCAUUCAUUCAUUUAGUCAUUCUGUCUCCAUCCAUUUCUUCCUUAUAACUUCUGAUAUUUGAAAACACAUUUGAAAACAAAAACCCCGACAUUGAUCAUUUCAUUCAAUCAUUUAUUCAUUGCAUUUCAUUCACUGGUCAGUACUCCACCUAAUUUCGUGGUUAUACUCGAGUAUACCAAAACAGUGGCUCAGGGUUACCAACCUACCUGACCGAGUCCGCUUCUUAUUCGAAUAGGCUGGCAACGAAGGGUAAGGGUCCAAUUCAACUAAUGACUUACAUUCAUGCACAAGUAACAUUCAAUCAUGUAAUCAUUAAAAAUUCAUAUUCACUUAGGUCGAGUGCGGUAAGGUACACAUUCGCCUAUCAAUGGUAAAGUGAUUUUUGAAAUACAUUUAACAGUCAAAAAAUAACACACAAUCAAGGCAUUCAAUUCACAAACAUAAGGAACACUCACCACUUGACCUCAAUGUUUCUACUUCAAACCCUGAUUCGUCUUCUCAAGUCCUGUGGUCAUAUAAGCUAUCAAGAGUUUAUCCAUUUAAAUCCAAGAUAAAUGAGAAAAUAUGAGUUCGAAACUUCACUUAACAAACACAGAAAAUUUCAGGUUUAACCCUAAUAUAGUUUCCAAAAGGGCCAAGAUUUCUUGUUCAAAUCAAGUUCAAAUCAAGGGAAACUACAUGUAUGAUAGGUCCAUGUUUCAAGUAUAACAUGGAGCAAGAACAUGUUGAUUAUAGCCAAGAAUUUUGAAGACAACAGGACAAGAUUUUCGAGGUACAAACUAGAAAUUUCGAGCAAGAAAAACAUGUUGGAGAAAACUCAUUUUCCUUCUCUUGGCCUCUUUGUUUUGACUCAAAUCCAAUAUACAGGUGAAGAUUUAGGUUUAACAAAGUAUCUUGAGCAAAACCUUGCCAAAAUCACCACAAAAUUCUGGAAAUCAAAGCUAGAAAGUGGCCCUUUUCUAGCCGGCCAACUCUAAUAGAAAUUACAGCAAGUUUUCCCCAAAUUUUCCAACAAAACUUCCAACUUUCAACUUUAUUUUCUUGGUGAAACCACUAUCAAUCAAGAUAUCAUGUCAUGACAUAUAUGAACCAUCUUCUUAGCAAACAAACCCAUCAAAAUUUCACAUAUUCAAAACUCUAAACUAAACUAACUAGAUUAUGCACCAAAGUUGGAAAUUGCAACAUAAUCUUGACAAACCAUGAAAUCUUCCAUAAAAGUCAUGCAUUUUACCUUAUAGAAUAUCAUCCAUCAAGUAGAUGCAAAGACAAGUGAAGAAAGAUGAGGUUGCUAUCAAGUUUACCUCUUAAAUCCCACAAAACAAAGUUGGAAAUUCACAACAGAACCUGAAAAUCAUAAAAUCCACCAUACAAGUCCUUCCUUUAACUUCUAUAAUAUCAUACAUCAAAUAAACUCAAAGAUAAGGGAAGAUUUUUAGCAAAGUUCACAUCUUUACCUCCAAAACCUUAGAUGAAUAGCCAAGCAAGAAGUACUCAAGGGUUUCUUCCUCCAAAACCUCUCUAAUAGCUUCCUUCCAACCCUGAUUCAAGGUUUGUCAGAGUAGACUAGUGUUUUCUCUCAUUAAUCAAGCAAGAAAUCAAGGCUUGAACUUGGAGUUGGUUUUCACCUCUUUUCCCCUCAAGAAUUUCAGCCAAGACAAGAUAAAGAAGGAAAGAAUAGUGAAGAAAUAAAAGCUUAUUUUGGUUAAGGUCUUAGUCAACUUUGGUUGACUACUUGACA
rnacentral:lncRNA from 1 species